rnacentral:rRNA from 1 species
UUAUUAGGCAGAGGAAAAGGAACAAACUUGGAUUAGCGUAGUAAGGGCGACUGAAGUGCUAGAAGCUCAUUUUGAUAAUUGGCACACUAGUUGUGUUGAGUUGUGAUAUUGAGGGUUGUGAUCAUGCAGACAAAUUAAAUCUUUGGAACAGGAGAGUGAAAUGGGUGAUACUCCCGUACAUUUGUUAGCUGUAACAUGACCUUUGGAGUAGAGUUGUUUGAGAUUGCAGCUCUAAGUUGGUGGUAAAUUCCACCAAAAGCUAAAUAUUUGAGGAAGAUCAAUAGCUUACAAGUACCAUGAGGGAAAGAUGCAAAGAACUUUGAAAAGAGAGUGAAAGAGUAUCUGAAAUUGUUGUUGGGAACGAAGAGUGGUUUAGUGUUCAAAAAGCUAUAUUUCUUUGUCCUUUUUAAGGAUGGAGCACUGUGGUUUUUGUUGUGAGCAACUGUUGAGACAGAUGGAAGGAUUUUCAUGCUGUUAGCUGAUUUAUCUGCACCUGUCUCGACACGUGUUCACGAAAUGAACUUCUCUUCCCCG